GCAAGUCUGGUGCCAGCAGCCGCGGUAAUUCCAGCUCCAAUAGCGUAUAUUAAAGUUGUUGCAGUUAAAAAGCUCGUAGUUGAACCUCGGGAUCAAUGGAUCGGUCAUGCCAUCGGUAUGUACUGGUCUCAUUGGUUCUCACCUUCUAAGGAACCAUGAUGUCAUUAAUUUGAUGUUGUGGGGAAUUAGGACUGUUACCUUGAAAAAAUUAGAGUGUUUAAAGCAGGCUAACGCUUGAAUACAUUAGCAUGGAAUAAUGAAAUAGGACAUCGCAUUCUAUUUUGUUGGUUUCUAGGAUCGAUGUAAUGAUUAAUAGGGAUAGUUGGGGGCAUUAGUAUUCAAUUGUCAGAGGUGAAAUUCUUGGAUUUAUUGAAGACUAACUACUGCGAAAGCAUUUGCCAAGGAUGUUUUCAUUAAUCAAGAACGAAAGUUAGGGGAUCGAAGACGAUCAGAUACCGUCGUAGUCUUAACCAUAAACUAUGCCGACUAGGGAUCGGAUGAUGUUGAUUUCUUAAUGACUCAUUCGGCGCCUUACGGGAAAC
rnacentral:rRNA from 1 species